UACGGGGGGGGGGCAAGCGUUGUUCGGAAUUACUGGGCGUAAAGGGCUCGUAGGCGGCCAACUAAGUCAGACGUGAAAUCCCUAGGCUCAACCUAGGAACUGCGUCUGAUACUGGAUGGCUUGAAUCCGGGAGAGGGAUGCAGAAUUCCAGGUGUAGCGGUGAAAUGCGUAGAUAUCUGGAGGAAUACCGGUGGCGAAGGCGGCAUCCUGGACCGGCAUUGACGCUGAGGAGCGAAAGCCAGGGGAGCAAACAGG
rnacentral:rRNA from 1 species